UAAUACGUAGGGUGCGAGCGUUAAUCGGAAUUACUGGGCGUAAAGCGUGCGCAGGCGGCGGCACAAGUCAGGUGUGAAAUCCCCGGGCUUAACCUGGGAAUUGCGCUUGAAACUAGGUCGCUAGAGUGUGGCAGAGGGGGGUGGAAUUCCACGUGUAGCAGUGAAAUGCGUAGAGAUGUGGAGGAACACCGAUGGCGAAGGCAGCCCCCUGGGUCAACACUGACGCUCAGGCACGAAAGCGUGGGGAGCAAACAGGAUUAGAUACC
rnacentral:rRNA from 1 species